UGGGGAAUUUUGGACAAUGGGCGCAAGCCUGAUCCAGCCAUGCCGCGUGAGUGAAGAAGGCCUUCGGGUUGUAAAGCUCUUUCGGCGGGGACGAAACGGUUCGUGACAACACCACGGACUAAUGACGGUACCCGCAUAAGAAGCACCGGCUAACUACGUGCCAGCAGCCGCGGUAAUACGUAGGGUGCAGGCGUUAAUCGGAAUUACUGGGCGUAAAGCGUGCGCAGGCGGUUUGUUAAGACAGGUGUGAAAUCCCCGGGCUUAACCUGGGAAUUGCGCUUGUAACUGGCAGGCUAGAGUGUGGCAGAGGGGGGUGGAAUUCCACGUGUAGCAGUGAAAUGCGUAGAUAUGUGGAGGAACACCGAUGGCGAAGGCAGCCCUCUGGGUUAACACUGACGCUCAUGCACGAAAGCGUGGGGAGCAAACAGGAUUAGAUACCCCAGUAGUCCCUGAGCGGGCUGGCAAGGCGCAU
rnacentral:rRNA from 1 species